rnacentral:rRNA from 1 species
UACGUAGGGUGCAAGCGUUAUCCGGAAUUAUUGGGCGUAAAGCGUUCGCAGGCGGUUUGUUAAGUCUGUGGUUAAAUCUGGCCGCUCAACGGUCAACAUGCCACGGAUACUAUCGAACUAGAGAAUGGUAGAGGCAACUGGAAUUCUGCGUGUAGGGGUAAAAUCCGUUGAUACGCAGAGGAACACCAAAAGCGAAGGCAGGUUGCUGGGCCAUUUCUGACGCUGUUGAACGAAAGCGUGGGUAGCAAACAGG